rnacentral:lncRNA from 1 species
AUGGCGCCGCUGGUCCAUGGUGCGCUUCUCCGUCCUCUCCAAGGCAAGGAAGGAGGGAGGCGGGGGAGCCAAGCCAGCAAGCGGUACCAGCAGCAGCAGCCCCCUCCUCUGCCUCCUCCUCCUCCUCGGCUGGGGCGAAGGCCAGGAAAUCAACUAGGUGUCCAUUUCUCAUCUGUAUUGACCGUGCUCUCAAAUGACAUAGAACCAUUGAUCAACAGGAAUGCAAGACAAAUCAGCGAAAACUGUUGAGUUUCAGUCCAUUCAACAUCUAUAUGUCUUGUGAAGCUAUGUGACACUAACAAUGUGCUGGAAUUCAAUAGGGCUCUGGGAAUUUGUGUAGCUCAGCUUUACCUCUAUCUGGUCUGCUUCAUACUAAACCUUCCAUCAUUUCCAGUCAGCAUAGCUGACAUAUAAUUGUCAUCCCUUUUCAUGUAUAAAAUCAAACUGUCAAUACUGCCAAUGUAAUAACAUUGCUUACUGCACCUUCCUAAUGGUUGGACUGGUCUGGCAGGCAUGCAAGAAUAUAUCUUAUACUCAAGUAUAAGUAAAAAAAAUGAACAAAAAAACCCCUAGAUCAACAAUUGCACUGGCUACCAGUUUGUUUCUGGGUGUAUUUCAAGGUGCUGACUUUAGCCUAUAAAGCCCUAUGGGCCCAGCCUACUUAUUGGACUGCAUCUUCUCCUAUGAGUCCACACAAGCCAAGGAAAGGUCCUGCUCUUGGUCCCACCACCAUCUCAAGCACAACUGGUGGGGACGAGAAAGAGGGCCUUCUCAGUGGUAGCACCAUGUCACUGGAUCUCCCUCCUAGAGAGCUUAGAAUGCCCCCCUCCCUGCUGUUAUUUCGUAAGCCGGUUAAAACCUUCCUUUGGAAGAAGGCCUUCCCUGAAGAAGAUUAGCAGAUGGGCAGGUAUAGUGGUGUGUAAUACUUGAGCUAUACAUAAUGGACCUCCGGCAAUCGAUUUAUUUCUUACGGCCUAAAGGAAUAGGAUAUUAUAUGGCCUUUAAAUUGUACGUUUAAUAUGUUUUUAUGUCAGUUUUAUGUCAUUUGUUAUGGGGAAUGGGAAUUCUGUAAUGUUUUAAAUAUUGUAAUUUGUUAAUUGUUGUGUGAGGAUUUAUGUUGUGCUUUUGGUUGUAAACCUGAUUUUACAGGUUGUAAGCCACUUGGAGUCCCCUUGCAGGAAGAAAAGUGGGAUAGAAAUAAAUAAAUAAUCCAUGGAUCAAUGUGAGCAAUGGUACCUUAAUUCUUAUUUUUUUUAAAAAGGAACCACCUAUUUCUCUGAGAAGAGUGGCAAAGGGCAAGAGUCCCACAAAAGCACCAGCCCCACACUAACUGCCAUGGCACUGAUUCUGGCCUUUCUGAUUGCCUGGCAGGGGAAAUGGGAGCGGCAGCCCCUGAAAUGGCAUUGGUGCUUUCCUCUCUUUGUAAAAUGACAGGUCCACAGGUCACAUGAACAUCCAUAAUUUUAGCCCCAAAACUUGCCCUCAAAUUAUGCAUGAGAUAGACUUAUACAUGAGUAUAUAUGAUAAUUGUUUACACAAAUCUUGUAUUUCAGAACAACCAUCUGAGAGGUCUCAUUAUACAACACAACACAACAUCACUGUGCUAAGAAUGAUGUUGAAAAAAUUAACUAGACCAGAAAGGAACUGGGUUUUAUUUUGUUAAUGAAGAACAAAUUAAGAAGUUAGUCUUAAGAGCAUUCAGAAUUUUCAAAAAUUCAAGAAUCUGUUCCAGAGAAACUUUGGGAUUUAGGCAAAGGGGUGACUUAAUAUUAAAUAAAAAUCAAUUACUUUGCAGUGCACAUAAGUUUCAUAAUCUAAAUUAAAUGUAAACAUUUUUCUAAAUCUUUACAGUAA